rnacentral:rRNA from 1 species
CUACGGGGCGCAGCAGUGGGGAAUAUUGGACAAUGGAGGAAACCCUGAUCCAGCAAUGCCGCGUGUGUGAAGAAGGCCUGCGGGUUGUAAAGCACUUUCGGUUGGGAGGACUGCUUCUAGCACUAAUAUUGUUGGAAGUUGACGUUACCUUCAGAAGAAGCACCGGCUAACUCCGUGCCAGCAGUCGCGGUAAUACGGAGGGUGCACGCGUUAAUCGGAAUUACUGGGCGUAAAGCGCGCGUAGGCGGCUAGAUCAGUCGGGUGUGAAAGCCCCGGGCUUAACCUGGGAACUGCAUCCGAUACUGUCUAGCUUGAGUACAGGAGAGGAGAGUGGAAUUCCACAUGUAGCGGUGAAAUGCGUAGAUAUGUGGAGGAACACCAAUGGCGAAGGCAGCUCUCUGGCCUGAUACUGACGCUGAGGUGCGAAAGCGUGGGGAGCAAACAGGAUUAGAUACCCUUGUAGUC